AGCCGCAGCCGCUCGCGCUCCCGCAGCCGCUCCCGCUACAGCCGCUCCAAGUCCCGCUCCCGCACGCGCUCGCGCUCGCGCUCCACCUCCAAGUCCAGGUCGGCGCGAAGGUCCAAGUCCAAGUCCUCGUCGGUGUCCAGGUCGCGGUCGCGCUCCCGGUCCAGGUCCCGGUCCAGGAGUCCUCCGCCCGCGUCCAAGCGGGAGUCCAAGUCCAGGUCGCGCUCCAAGAGCCCCCCCAAGUCUCCCGAGGAGGAGGGCGCCGUGUCCUCUUGAGCAAAAGCUGCGGUCUCCUGUUUGAUAAAAGAAUAUUGGCCAGUAUUGCAGAUUUUAACUGAUUUGGCUGAUCCUCCAGGGACCAGUUUCUGUGGGCGUGUAUUGGAGCAGGUUUGUCUUUAAAUGUUAAAGAUGCACUAUCCUCUUAGAGAAAGCGAUCAGUUCAACUAUUGUUGUGCUGACUGGGACUUCGUGUUCUAUCGGAUGUGGCAAACGAAUUGCAAAAACGGAGCAAUGAGCUUUUGGAACCCCCAAAAAAAGUUCACAGGUACUGCGCUGGGUGGGGAAAGGAUAGUGUGUCUUUAACUCUCCAAUUGUUUGGUCCUGUUUUUUAAAAGGAAAGGGCCCUGCGUAGCUCGAGACAUUUAAAGCCUUUAUUCUCGGUUGCCAGAUGUUUCGUUCGGAAACUAAACAUUUAUCGUAAAGUAGACUGAUUUCCUGAUUUCGAGUUUUGGUUUGGAUAUACAGUCCUUUUAUUUUUCCCCCCUUUUUUCUUUUUUUCUUUUUCUUUUUCUUUUACCCCCAUCCCUCCCUUAUUUUUCACCUUGGAUGUUUGGCCAAGAUGGCCUUAAACACAAAUUUGUAAACGCGGAUGGUUAGCCUUUGUGAAAAUUUCCUAAUUGGGCCUUUAAAACACCAGAUAAUGGCUGGGUGGAACCUUUCCGUAACCUACUUGUUUCACCAGAGCCUUAGUAAGUACGUGCCUGAAACUGAAACCAUGUGCACGUUCUCGUCGCUUCCCAGCGAUGGAAGGUAAACUGAACUUUUUUCUUUCCAAACCUAGAUGUGUCGACAAGCAACAUAAUUGAAAGGAAGAUUUGGGAGAAAAGGACCACAUGCUCAGUCCAUCGAAGAGUCCUUGGCACAGGCAACUGGCUAUUGAAAAGGUUAUUUUGUAACAUUUUGUCUAACUUUUUACUUGUUUUAAGCUUUGCCUCAGGUGGCAAACUUCAUUUUAUGUGCCAUUUUGUUGCUGUUAUUCAAAUUUCUUGUAAUUUAGUGAGGUGAACGACUUCAGAUUUCAUUAUUGGCUUGGAUAUUUGAGGUAAAUUUUCCUUUUGUUUAUAUAGUGCUGACUUUUUUUGUUUGAAAUUAAACAGAUUGGUAACCUAAUUUGGGGCCUCCUGACUUUUAAGGAAACGUGUGCAGCCAUUUACGCACAGCCUAAAGCUGUCAAGAGAUUGACUCAACAUUGCCUUCAUUCCUUAAAAUUAAAAAGCUACAAAAGUUGGUGUAAAUUUGUUUGUAUAUGUUAUUUACCUUCAGAUCUAAGUGGUAAAUCUGAACCCAAAUUUGUGUAAAGACUUUUCAGGUGAAAAGACUUGAUUUUUUGGAAGGAUUGUUACCAAACACAAUUCUAAUCUCUUCUCUUGUGUAUUUUUGUGCACUAGGCGCAGUUGUGUAGCAGUUCAGUAAUGCUGGUUAGCUGUUAAGGUGGCGUGUUGCAGUGCAGAGUGCUUGGCUGUUUCCUGUUUUCUCCCGAUUGCUCCGGUGUAAAGAUGCCUUGUCGUGCAGAAACAAAUGGCUGUCCGGUUUAUUAAAAUGCCUGACCACUGCACUUCCAGUCACCCGGGCCUUGCAUAUAGAUAACGGAGCAUACAGUGAGCACAUCUAGCUGAUGAUAAAUACACCUUUUUUUUUUCCCCUCCCCUUCCCCUUCAAAUGGUAAAUCCAAUCAUCUUCCAUGUAUGAACUUAAAAUAUGGAAAAUGUUAAGGAAGCAAAUGGUUUGUAACUUUGUAAGUACUUAUGACAUGGUGUAUCUUUUUGCUCAUGAAUAUUCUGUACUAUAACCAUUGUUUCUGUAGUUUAAUUAAAAUGUUUUCUUGGUGUUAGAUUUUCUCAGAAUAUGUCUUGGUCUUUUUUUCCCUCUUUGUUUGAAAGACCUGUGUAAUUAAUUAUCUUGUGAACCGGUUACUGUUAUAGUAUGAAAGUGUAAUGUUGAGUGCUUGACCUUUUUUCCCUAAGUUAAACAGUGAAAAUGCCAUUUCAGCACCCGCUUCCCCUAAAAUCAGUGCUCUCAGCACGUGCUUGAGGUUGUGGGUACCCCCUUGUGUCAUGGUCUAAUUUAUGUCCUUUUUACUGAUUUUUAAAGAACAAUCCAAGUCGUUUUUCUUACAGGUGUCUUUAUUUUUGUUUUCAUGGCUUUGUAACCCAUGAGCGUCCAGGUGACCCACCACAGUCCGUUAAGGCCAACAGAUCUGUCUUCAAGUCCAAUGCUUGUAGUCCCUCCCAAGAAGCUAAAAUGGUCCGAGUCCUAAUUGGCAUGCCAGGUUGCAAAUCAGUAUUGGCACUGCCCCAGAACAGCCUGUGUAGGUGUAAUUCAGAGACUGUCCUUUUUUGCAAAGGAGAUGACCAGCAUUUCAACAGUAUGUCUUCCUGGGAGAGCAGAUUCUGCUAUAUCUUCCUUGUCUGCAUCAAAAGACUCCAGAGGAAUGUGGACACAUUUCAUACCCCACUUGUAGAGCAAAGCUUCAAGUGACCAGUCAGCACUGAAAAAAAUAAAUUUGUUUUUUUUGAAA